rnacentral:rRNA from 1 species
UACGAAGGACCCGAGCGUUUAUCCGGAUUUAUUGGGUUUAAAGGGUGCGUAGGCGUCCUGGAAAGUUACGGUUGAAAUCUCCUUGCUCAACAAGGAAACUGGCCGUAAAACUAUCAGGAUUGAGUACUUUGAAGCGGGCGGAAUGUGUCAUGUAGCGGUGAAAUGCUUAGAUAUGACACAGAACACCAAUUGCGAAGGCAGCUCGCUAAACUGUAACUGACGCUGAGGCACGAAAGCGUGGGGAUCAAACAGGG